rnacentral:rRNA from 1 species
AAUCAAGUAGGCGAACGGGUGAGUAACACGUGAGCACCUGCCCUCCACUUCGGGAUAAGCCUUGGAAACGAGGUCUAAUACUGGAUACGAGCCUGCACUGCAUGGUGCGGGUUGGAAAGUUUUUCGGUGGGGGAUGGGCUCGCGGCCUAUCAGCUUGUUGGUGGGGUAAUGGCCUACCAAGGCGUCGACGGGUAGCCGGCCUGAGAGGGCGACCGGCCACACUGGGACUGAGACACGGCCCAGACUCCUACGGGAGGCAGCAGUGGGGAAUAUUGCACAAUGGGCGAAAGCCUGAUGCAGCGACGCCGCGUGAGGGAUGACGGCCUUCGGGUUGUAAACCUCUUUCAGCAGGGAAGAAGGCCUUCGGGUGGACGGUACCUGCAGAAGAAGCGCCGGCUAACUACGUGCCAGCAGCCGCGGUAAUACGUAGGGCGCAAGCGUUGUCCGGAAUUAUUGGGCGUAAAGAGCUCGUAGGCGGUCUGUCGCGUCUGGUGUGAAAACCCGAGGCUCAACCUCGGGCUUGCAUCGGGUACGGGCAGACUAGAGUGCGGUAGGGGAGACUGGAAUUCCUGGUGUAGCGGUGGAAUGCGCAGAUAUCAGGAGGAACACCGAUGGCGAAGGCAGGUCUCUGGGCCGCAACUGACGCUGAGGAGCGAAAGCU